CACGCAUCUGUGUAUAUAUUUCAGCCUGGUAAAAGGUUGCAGUGUUUUCAGUGUAUGGCAUAUUUUGUUUCUCCAUGCAGCCAAUAUUCGUGGAAUUUUUUUAACAAAGGGCUCAAGUCAGUGUUUGUCUGUUUAUUCGUUAAUGUGGUUAAAAGAACAGUUAGGCUGUUACGCUUAAGUGUACUGCCUUGUUUUUCUGAAAGGGAAUGAGAAACAAGCUUCUAGUUACCUCAAACGUUUGAAAGGAUUUCUUCUGAAAAGGCAAAUUCUUCUGUUGGAAUUUUAUAUUUCCUUAUCUUCAGUAGGGCCAGACUUGAAAGGCCUGAAAGCGGCUCCCAUUGAUUUUUCUGAGAGUCCCUAAUCAAGCAUCCAAGAAAGAAAUUUGACCCCAAAUAGGGAUUUCUAGGGCAAGGGGGAUUUGUCUGGGCAGUUUGCUUCUGAAGGAAGAAAAGUGUAUUCUUUCCUCUCUUGAAAGGCAGUUGAUGAAAGAAACAUAAGGAAUGGCUCUGCAAAAAGAAAACAAAAAGGUUCCAAACUGCAGGUAGAAACAAUAUCUCUUUUGAUAAAGCUAAUGUUGCUUUGUGUCAAAAGCAGAGUUCAGAUCGCCGGGAGUUACACUCUUUGUGCAACGAUUUCCUACCUCACACCAUCAAAGGCUUGCAAGCGCUGCGCUGAAUACACCACCACUCAAAAAGAAAGCUGGGAUAAAGAGUAACCCUGAAGAUUCCUGACUCAAAGAUAUUUGAAUCACCUGAAUGUCAGCAUACCCAGUGCAGUGUAAGAACAUACUGCUAUGACACCAGCACCAUAGCCAUCAGGCUCUGAGACAUCUGAUGGAGGCAUGGAGCCAUCUCAGUUUACAUCUGAUGCAUUUUUACAGCCUGUUGGGAUUUCUGGUGACUUCUCUUCCCCGUGGUGAAAACAAAAGAAUACUUCUGUGCAAGAUACUGCAAAGUAUCACCCUUCUAUCUCAUGUCAUAAUGAAAGUUCGCAGGCAAGAGGACACCAAUUAGCUGCAUCUUUUGAUGCUUCAGUUGAAAGUAUAAACAAAACCAAAUCAUCCUUCCCAUUGGAAGAAAGUAUAAACAAAUCAGAGUUUGGAAAACCAUGGUUGAAAUACAUUUUUGUAUUUUUUUUUGUUUUUGUAUUAGAAAAAUAAAAUCAUUUUCCG
rnacentral:lncRNA from 1 species